GAUGAACGCUAGCGGCAGGCCUAAUACAUGCAAGCCGAACGGGAUCUGAGGGUAGCUUGCUACCCGAUUUGAGAGUGGCGCACGGGUGCGUAACGCGUGAGCAGCCUACCCAUAUCAGGGGGAUAGCCCGAAGAAAUUCGGAUUAACACCGCAUAACAAUACGUUAACACAUGUUCAUGUAUUUAAAUAUUUAUAGGAUAUGGAUGGGCUCGCGUGACAUUAGCUAGUUGGUAAGGUAACGGCUUACCAAGGCGACGAUGUCUAGGGGCUCUGAGAGGAGAGUCCCCCAAACUGGUACUGGGACACGGACCAGACUCCUACGGGAGGCAGCAGUAAGGAAUAUUGGUCAAUGGGCGCAAGCCUGAACCAGCCAUGCCGCGUGCAGGAUGACUGCCCUAUGGGUUGUAAACUGCUUUUGUUAGGGAAUAAACCUACUUAUGUAUAAGUAGCUGAAUGUACCUAAAGAAUAAGGAUCGGCUAACUCCGUGCCAGCCGCCGCCGUAA
rnacentral:rRNA from 1 species